GUAAACUUAUUGAAAACCACUAUGUAAUUAAUGUAUUCCAUUACGAAAAUCCACAACAAGCAUAUCAAACUACAACUAUCAAAAUCCACAACGAAAAUUGACCGAAAUCCACUACGAAAUUAUUGAUAUCCACAAUGAUAUUAUCGAAAUUUACCACAAACUUAUCCAAAACCACUAAAAACAUACGUAAUCCACUACUAACACAACUCAAAAAUAACAAACAAAAAAACAUAAUCUACUAUUUGAAUCGCUUGGUGGCGCCGUGGCGGUGCCUAUAUUGCCUUGGCGCCGUUAUGUGAAUCGCCAGGUAUGAAGGCGGUGGUUGGUGGCUCUGACCACAAGCAGAUUAUUGCUCUUCUCUGUGAGGACGACGACGAAGAAGAUCCAAAGACGAUGGUGGCGUGUUGGCGUCGCACUACACCUCCGCCAAAGUGUGGAUAAUGACGGAUGACAUCAAAUUUAUCCCCUACUCACAAAAACAUGGUUUCAUAUUUAAAAUCAAGAGAAGUACUAAAUAUUAAUCACAGAGCUUGACAAUAAUUAUAGAUAGUAAAAUAUUGAAAAUUAAAUUCGUAACCAUCAUUUAACUAUUCUCUAUCCUGCAGAACUUAAAUCUUUUAUAGUAGUAUUAAUUUUCCAAAUCAUAUGAAUCAUCUAUUUAUCAUAAUUAGUUAUCAGACUACUAUAUAUACAUAUAUUGUCACGAAAUCAUGUGAUAUGAACAAAACCAAAAAAAAUAAAUUUGAAAUCAAAAUACAUCAAUUAUAAAAAGCAUCAUCUAGGGCAAAAAAUAUAAUUUGACAUACCAAUAUUUGCGGAAUUCUUCCUCAGGAAUCCAUUUUUCAAUCGUCCCCGCCUUCUUCUUCUCUUCCAUUGAUUCCGCAUUUUGCUUCACCUUACAGUCGUAGACGGAGAAAGGCUAGACUGUACUAUGCACGAAAAAAAUCCAAAAAAUCGGCGUGGAAAGAAAAUAGAGGGGCAUAGGAAACCGUAGUACACCUUUGAGCGAACCAUCGAUCUGCCGGCAACACUGAAACCGGAUCUUCCAUUGUGGUCGUCGGCGGCUUUAAGCGAGGAGAAGGUCACCGAUUUAGUCGGCGGAGAAAGGGUGGCCGAAUUAUUAGGGGGAGGGGAGUAUUGUGUGCUAUAGAAUUGAAGAGAGUAGAAAUGAAUAUAGAUGAGGAA
rnacentral:lncRNA from 1 species